rnacentral:misc_RNA from 1 species
CGCACAUUGCGCCCCUUGGUAUUCCAUGGGGCAUGCCUGUUCGAGCGUCAUUUGUCUCCUCAAGCUUUGCUUGGUGUUGGGCGUUUGUCUCGCGUUGCGCGCAGACUCGCCUUAAAGCGAUUGGCAGCCGGCAUAUUGGCCUUGGAGCGCAGCACAUUUUGCGUUCUAAGCCACGAAUGUUGGCGUCCAUUAAGCUUAUACAUUUGCUCUUGACCUCGGAUCAGGUAGGGAUACCCGCUGAACUUAA